GUGUGAUAUCUUGUGCUUAUGGAGAGGAGAUGAAGGCGUUACCCCCUGGUGUGAGGGGACUGGUGACAGGUUUACCAGAGUUGUUGAGCGAAUGUAGAGCUGAGUCUACGUCGCGGAAGUACAGAUACGGUUUUCAGGCCUGGAAACGGUGGGCGCAAUCUUGUGAUUGUAAUCUGACGUGAUGCUCGUGUGAGUGGAUGUUCCCUUGUCGGGUCGACCUGUGUAUGGUAUGGUCGUGUUGGCGAGUGAGCCUAAUCAUGCAUUAAAGUUUCUUCGUUCAGAAGCGUAGGCUGACGAGUCUUUAUAAUACGUCUAUUGUGUACAUAUAUAUUUUUUUUUGUCUGUUUGGCUGUUGAGCCGAGAGAAUACGAAAUAUGUUUUGUAAUGCAGCUCAGCAUACAGUUGAUUUACCUGUUUUUGGUAUGGUCGGGUCGGCUAGUGAGCUUUUAUGGUACGCUUAUAGUGUGAAUUUACGUGUUUGCUUACUCUUUGUUGAGUUAUGAUAAUUAGUAAUAUAAGUAUUGUAAUGCAGCUAAGCAGAUACUUGAUUUGCAUGUAUAUGAGAGAGGUGUAUUAUCUGUGUUCUGGGCUGGCGAGCCUUGAUAAUACGAGUUCACUUUGAACGUGGUCUGUUUGGACGAGGAUUGUUUCCCUCAUGUGCUAUGUUGUACAGUAUACAUCAUAAUUUGUAUUUAUGGCAUGCUCAGUACAUCAAAGGUUAAGCUGUAAACUCCCCAGAAAGGUGCCGCUGACUUCGUCGGGAGAACACGGUCCAGAGUAAUUUUCUCUUGAAUGCAGUUUUUGAUCUCUGUUUACGUGUCGGGCAGCGGUUCCACACCUGAUGAUGUAAUGUUGAAGGAGGGAAGUGUAUUUUGAAGGUUGGUGUGUUGAUGUCACACUGUUUGCAAUAUUUGUAAUAAACUGCCGUGUGUCGACACUGCGACCGGGCCAAUAUUC